rnacentral:lncRNA from 10 species
GAACCUAGGCACAGAGGUUAAGUGCUCUGCAAAUACUACCAGCCAGUGGUGGUUUUCCUGCCAGAACCAAGUUCUUGCCUUCCAGUGGACACCAUUGAUCUCUCAAGAUGAUUCUUUAAGUUAAAAAGAGCUGAAAGCCUGCAAACUACAUUUUGUUAAGUCUUUGGUAAACACAUUUCAUAUUAAUUUCUGUUACAAGGCAGCAGAAAUAGGCACAGUGCCUCCAACAUAUCAAAGGAAAGUAAAGGCUAGUGGAAGGGGAUAACAGCUUCCUGACCUCCAGGUCCAAUGGAAAAGUCCCAUUACGUUGACUAGGACCCACACUUGUGAAGAAUUAUGAAAACACAGAGCAUUUUGCAACAAAUUAUGUAAUCAUGUAAAUAGUAAACUAAUAAUAAACAGUAAACUGAUAA